rnacentral:rRNA from 1 species
UACGUAGGGGGCAAGCGUUAUUCGGAAUUAUUGGGCGUAAAGGGCGCGUAGGCGGCUUGGCAAGUGGAUGGUGAAAUCCCACGGCUCAACCGUGGAACUGCAUCUGAAACUGUUCGGCUCGAGUCCGGGAGAGGGUAGUGGAAUUCCCAGUGUAGCGGUGAAAUGCGUAGAUAUUGGGAGGAACACCGGUGGCGAAGGCGGCUACCUGGACCGGUACUGACGCUGAGGCGCGAAAGCUAGGGUAGCAAACAGG